UACGGGGGGGGCAAGCGUUGUUCGGAAUUACUGGGCGUAAAGGGCUCGUAGGCGGCCAAUUAAGUCAGACGUGAAAUCCCUCGGCUCAACUGGGGAACUGCGUCUGAUACUGGAUGGCUUGAGUGUGGGAGAGGGAUGCGGAAUUCCAGGUGUAGCGGUGAAAUGCGUAGAUAUCUGGAGGAACACCGGUGGCGAAGGCGGCAUCCUGGACCACGACUGACGCUGAGGAGCGAAAGCCAGGGGAGCAAACGGG
rnacentral:rRNA from 1 species